rfam:Camelus ferus unplaced genomic scaffold scaffold482, whole genome shotgun sequence.
GAGGGUAUAGUUCAGUGAUAGAGCGCAUGCUUAGCACGCACAAAGUCCUGAGUUCAAUCCCCAGUACCUCCA